UACGUAGGGGGCCAGCGUUGUCCGGAUUCAUUGGGCGUAAAGCGCGUGUAGGCGGUCCGGUAAGUCCGCUGUGAAAGUCGGGGGCUCAACCCUCGGAUGCCGGUGGAUACUGUCGGGCUUGAGUACGGAAGAGGCGAGUGGAAUUCCUGGUGUAGCGGUGAAAUGCGCAGAUAUCAGGAGGAACACCAAUUGCGAAGGCAGCUCGCUGGGACGUUACUGACGCUGAGACGCGAAAGCGUGGGGAGCAAACAGG
rnacentral:rRNA from 1 species